rnacentral:snoRNA from 1 species
UAUGCGGUGAUGAGCUGUUACAUGUAAGAAGAUCCUUUUGUAGGGUUCUUUGAUGAAAUAUUCUUGUUACGCUUGGCUUCUGAGCAUU